CAGUCGCCGCGGUAAGACAGAGGAUGCAAGCGUUAUCCGGAAUUAUUGGGCGUAAAGAGCUCGUAGGCGGUUUGUCGCGUCUGCCGUGAAAGUCCGGGGCUCAACCCCGGAUCUGCGGUGGGUACGGGCAGACUAGAGUGAUGUAGGGGAGACUGGAAUUCCUGGUGUAGCGGUGAAAUGCGCGGAUAUCAGGAGGAACACCGAUGGCGAAGGCAGGUCUCUGGGCAUUAACUGACGCUGAGGAGCGAAAGCAUGGGGAGCGAACAGGAUUAGAUACCCCCGUAGUCCCUGUCUCUUAUAC
rnacentral:rRNA from 1 species